CCUGGUGGCUUAGACAGUAAAGCGUCUGCCUGCAAUGCGGGAGACCUGGGUUCAAUUCCUGGGUCAGGA
rnacentral:tRNA from 1 species